AUACGUAGGUGGCAAGCGUUGUCCGGAUUUACUGGGCGUAAAGCGCGCGCAGGCGGCUUGUCAAGUCUGGGGUGAAAUCUCUCGGCUCAACCGAGAGAGGUCUCUGGAUACUGGCAGGCUUGAGAGGAGCAGAGGAGAGUGGAAUUCCCGGUGUAGCGGUGAUAUGCGUAGAUAUCGGGAGGAACACCAGUGGCGAAGGCGGCUCUCUGGGCUCUCUCUGACGCUGAGGCGCGAAAGCGUGGGGAGCGAACCGGAUUAGAAACCCCGGUAGUCC
rnacentral:rRNA from 1 species